AUGAUGAAAACCGCGUCGGAGCAUUGGUGUAGGGCCUACUUUAGGAUUGGCUCUUUCUGUGACUCAGUUGAGAACAACAUGUGUGAGUCAUUUAAUAAUGCCAUCAUGAGAUCAAGGUUCUACUCUGUAAUAGCGGCAAUGGAAAUCAUUAGAAAGAAGGUGACUGUGAGGAUCCAACAAAACAGAGCAAAGUCUCAGAAGUGGCAUGGAACCAUUUGCCCAGUCACAAUCAUCUCAACCUCCAUCUGCAUCAUCUUCUUAUCAACCAACACCUGGGUCGAGAUCUCAGCCAAUGUCAAACCAAUCAGGAUUCCAAUGGUGGUUAUAUGGCAAUAA
rnacentral:rRNA from 1 species